AAUUGCUUAUCUUAAAGAUUUACAGAAAUUGGUGCUGACAAAUAAUCAGCUGAGUACGUUACCCAGAGGCAUCGGCCACCUCACCAACCUGACUCACCUUGUUUGGGGGAGAACCUGCUGCAGCACCUUCCAGAGGAGAUUGGUACACUGGAGAACUUGGAGGAACUGUACCUCAACGACAACCCCAACCUGCACAGCCUCCCGUUCGAGCUGGCCCUCUGCAGCAAGCUGUCCAUCAUG